rnacentral:rRNA from 1 species
GAGGAAAGAGGGAGGCGUGCCUAACACAUGCAAGUCGAACGGAGAGAUACGAGAGCUUGCUCUCGUAAAUCUUAGUGGCAAACGGGUGUGUAACGCGUAAACAACCUGCCCAACGGAUGGGGACAACAGACGGAAACGACUGCUAAUACCCAAUAGACUCCGACUUCGCGUGAAACUGAUAGGAGAGGGUGCUGCUCGAAGAAGCUACCGCCUCAGGGGGGGUUUGCGUAGGAGUAGUUAGAUGGGGGUGUAACGGCCUCACAAGACGAAGGUCAAGAGCCGGUCUGAGAGGAUGAAUCGCCACCACGGAACUGAGACAAGGUCCAGAACCCUAACGGAGGCAGCCGUGGGGAAUCCUCCGGCAAGGACGAAAGUCCGGCGGGGCAACGCCGCGUGAGUGAAGAAGGCCCUCGGGUUGUAAAGAUCUGUUAUUCGGGAAGAACGAUUCGUGUGUAAAUAAUGAACGGACGUGACGGUACCGAAAGAGAAAGCCACGGCUAACUACGUG